CCUCUCGCAAUCGGCAGAGGAAUGUCCUAUAUGCGCUUUGCUCACCUUCGGGUGGCUAUGGCGAUAAACGGCAUGUGGAAUAAGCGUUGCGGACCCGGGGGCAGUGCCCGGCGCCUCCACCAUAGGGGGGCGAAACAGGCUCGACGCGCGUGGUAAAGCCAUGUCUUUUGCCCGGCAUUGUACCGCCGUUAUCGGGCUAUAUCACAAGUGCCAACGAUAAUGGUCGCGAGACCAUGGCGCUCGCUGCCUAACCAUAGGUAAGCGCGGUCCGGGGGGAACCGGGCAACAGAAUCCCCCCACU
rnacentral:tmRNA from 1 species